CCAAAUAAAUCGUGUCUGGCUCAUGGGUUGGCAUACGGGCCGUGCCGGGCUUGGGCAUGUGCCAUGCCGUGCCUGACAUGACGAACUGUACCAGUCCAAGCCCUGAAAGGCUCUGCCGAGUCUGGGCCGUGGGCCACCAAACUCCCAGCCCUUAGUAUUGCGCACGGCCCGCUACAGCAGGUCUGCCGAAAGCGCUUGGUUUGGAUUAGG
rnacentral:lncRNA from 1 species